AUUGAACGCUGGCGGCAUGCCUUACACAUGCAAGUCGAACGGCAGCACGGGGCAACCUGGUGGCGAGUGGCGAACGGGUGAGUAAUGCAUCGGAACGUGCCAUUGAGUGGGGGAUAACGUAGCGAAAGUUGCGCUAAUACCGCAUAUUCUGUGAGCAGGAAGCAGGGGACCGCAAGGCCUUGCGCUCUUUGAGCGGCCGAUGUCAGAUUAGCUAGUUGGUGAGGUAACGGCUUACCAAGGCGACGAUCUGUAGCGGGUCUGAGAGGAUGAUCCGCCACACUGGAACUGAGACACGGUCCAGACUCCUACGGGAGGCAGCAGUGGGGAAUUUUGGACAAUGGGCGCAAGCCUGAUCCAGCCAUGCCGCGUGAGUGAAGAAGGCCUGGUUGUAAGCUCUUUCGGCCGGAAGGAAAUCGCAUGGGUUAAUACCCUGUGUGGAUGACGGUACCGGAA
rnacentral:rRNA from 1 species